UACGUAGGGGGCAAGCGUUGUCCGGAGUUACUGGGCGUAAAGCGCACGCAGGCGGUCUUUUAAGUUUGGAGUGACAGUUGGUGGCUUAACUGCCAAAGUGCUUCGAAAACUGACAGACUUGAGGGCUUUCAGAGGGACACGGAAUUCCGGGGUGGAGUGGUGAAAUGCGUAGAGAUCCGGAGGAACACCAAAGGCGAAGGCAGUGUCCUGGGGAGUACCUGACGCUCAGGUGCGAAAGCCAGGGGAGCGAACGGGAUUAGAUACCCGGAGUAAG
rnacentral:rRNA from 1 species